rnacentral:rRNA from 1 species
UACGGAGGAUCCAAGCGUUAUCCGGAAUCAUUGGGUUUAAAGGGUCCGUAGGCGGUUUAGUAAGUCAGUGGUGAAAGCCCAUCGCUCAACGGUGGAACGGCCAUUGAUACUGCCAGACUUGAAUUAUUAGGAAGUAACUAGAAUAUGUAGUGUAGCGGUGAAAUGCUUAGAGAUUACAUGGAAUACCAAUUGCGAAGGCAGGUUACUACUAAUGGAUUGACGCUGAUGGACGAAAGCGUGGGUAGCGAACAGG